GAGUCACGUGACUGCGGCUCCCCGCCCUCUCACCCCGCUGCCUCUAGGUUCUGGGAAGAUGGCGAAGGUCUCAGAGCUUUACGAUGUCACUUGGGAAGAAAUGCGAGAUAAAAUGAGAAAAUGGAGAGAAGAAAACUCACGAAAUAGUGAGCAAAUUGUGGAAGUUGGAGAAGAAUUAAUUAAUGAAUAUGCUUCUAAGCUUGGAGAUGAUAUUUGGAUCAUAUAUGAACAGGUGAUGAUUGCUGCACUAGACUAUGGUCGGGAUGACUUGGCAUUGCUCUUAUUUUUUCAGUUUUGUCUUCAAGAGCUAAGAAGACAGUUCCCUGGCAGUCACAGAGUCAAGCGAUUAACAGGCAUGAGAUUUGAAGCCAUGGAAAGAUAUGAUGAUGCUAUACAGCUAUAUGAUAGGAUUUUACAAGAAGAUCCAACUAACACUGCUGCAAGAAAGCGUAAGAUUGCCAUUCGAAAAGCCCAGGGGAAAAAUGUGGAGGCCAUUCGGGAACUGAAUGAGUAUCUGGAACAAUUUGUUGGAGACCAAGAAGCCUGGCAUGAACUUGCAGAACUUUAUAUCAAUGAACAUGACUAUGCAAAAGCAGCCUUUUGUUUAGAGGAACUAAUGAUGACUAAUCCACACAACCACUUAUACUGUCAGCAGUAUGCUGAAGUUAAAUAUACCCAAGGUGGACUUGAAAACCUCGAACUUUCAAGAAAGUAUUUUGCACAGGCAUUGAAACUGAACAACAGAAAUAUGAGAGCUUUGUUUGGGCUUUAUAUGUCGGCAAGUCAUAUUGCUUCUAAUCCAAAAGCAAGUGCAAAAACGAAAAAGGACAACAUGAAAUAUGCUAGUUGGGCAGCUAGUCAAAUAAACAGAGCUUAUCAGAGCUGGACAUAAAGAGUAAGAAAACCAUAUUUAGGAGAGUGAUGGAGAAGACCAACAGAAGGAAACAAGUUUGAGUAUUGAUCAAUAUAGAACAAGCCUAUGCUUCACAGCAAACAAACCUCUAGAUCUCUUUGGCUUAAAUCAGUGCACCCAGGUGACUCUCUAGGAAAGUGUCUUCCAUAUAUUAAUUUGACCAUUGAGGCUACUUGGGUCCUGUGACUUCAUUGUCUCUUCACAACAGUAAGACACCUUGGUAGAAGAAUAGAGUGAAUGGAGGGUUCAUAACCUUCAAAUCCUACUGGUCAGAGGCCGAGAAUAGCAGUCAGUAUUGCCAUUGAGAACAUAACUAGAUUUGUCUAAAUUUUGAGGAGGAGAGUCAAUCAUGGGAAAGAACGUGAAGUCUGAGAGAAAACUAACAUUUACUGGGUACCUUCUGCAGAAGUUCCAAAACCAUUUUGAUUUACAGCACUAAAUAUUUCAGUAUUUUUUUCAAUGGAUUCCUAGGCCAAAAUAACUAACAGUGCCAUGAGUUGAGUGAUUAGGUCCAAACAAGUUAAAAUGUAUUUAUACACUAACAACAGAGUAGCUGUUUGAACAUAGUAGUACACAUACAUUGAAAGAAAGACAAUUUUUAUUUCAGCCUUAACUAUAGAUAACUUACUUACUAAUGAGAUAUGUGGGUUUCUUGGGCACUGUGUACCUCUCAGACCUUGGAAUCAUAUUGGAUCCACCACCUUCAUUUCCUGUUCCAAACUGAUUUUCAUGUUUACUGGCGUUUUAUCUAGCCACCACCAAAACUUAGCUCAGCAGAGAUAUGACAUCAAUGAAAGAAAUGUAAUAUGAUCUAAUGUUGAAACUGUAAACUACCUUGAGCUAGCAGGUCACACAGUGGCUGACAGGUUUUGAGUAUUGCUAUAUUUUCCUCAACAUUUUAGAAUAUCCCAUGGCUCUCAUGUAAGUAUGCUGCAGUGCCCUCGGGGGCUUCAGUGCAUGGUUUGGGAACCAUACAUCUGUUGGCUUAGGUACUAUAUAUAAAUCACCUACUUCUUAACGACAGUUUGGAAGGUAGGUGCUAUGAUUUUCAAGUUGGAUGUGGAAACUCAAGUUUGAAAGAGGAUAUGCAUUCUACCCUAAACCUCCUAGUUAGUAAUUAACAGAGCAGAGGCUUGAACCCAAACCUUCUGGCUUUAAACCCCGUCGCAUCAUGCCCUGUGUCAUGAGAUUUGCAGGAUUAAGGUUUUCACAGCUUCCUCUCCCCAUGACCUUUCCCUGGUUUCAAGCAACAUUGAAAUUACUAUUUUUUAAAACAUGUGGAAAUGCUUGAAACUCAUGGAACUGAUUUUAAGUCAUGUCUCCUUUUUUAGCUAUAAGGCACACCUGCUAGAAAAUAAAUUUUCCUGAGCAGAGAUUAAAGAACUUUACAAUGGCCUUAAAAUGGCCCCAGGAAAGAUUGCUUAAGGUUUGAAAUCAAGACAGUAAAUUUAUAAUUAACUUGUAAUUAUUUUACUGCUAAUUUUUAAUGUGACAUUUAGUAAGAACCACAUAUCACUUUUCUCCAGCUGUUAGGACAGUUCUUAUAAACUAAACCUUCUUCACCAGCUGUUGCCUAAUUCAGUAUGGUCCAUGUUGGAAUUUUUCCAGCUCUGCCUGAACAUUAUUACUAAGUCUCAGCAGACCCAUGCAAAAGUGAGCCAUAACUGUAAUCUUUCAUGUUACUCAUUGUUCUAUUUAAUUAUCUGAAAUACUACCUGAUAAAUAGUGCAAUCAGAAGAAUUUCAGUUUAACAGUAACUACUUCCACAUCACUUUUCUGCUGUCAUCUAAUUUGAAACAGGUUUUGGAUUACUACCUUUGAAUUAUGUAAACUCCCAAUCAACGAUUAAGAAUCUUUGAGCUGCUGGUUUGUGUAUGUGUGUGGUUCUUAUGUGUCAGUAAAUUCGGCCCUAGUAAAAUGCACUUUUUUUUCUUCACUAGACUUUUUAAGCCCUUCUUUUCUCCUAAGCUUGUUGAAGGGAUAAGGAAUGAGUAGCUGGAACCAAGGAAGACUAAAUCCUUACAAAAGAAAUUUGUUUUCAAAGCAAUGUCACUUCACAUAGAAAUAAAAGAAUAUUUGCAUUAAAUGCCCCUAACACAGAUUAUAAUUCAGAGAAACAUCUGAGUAGCGGAAAAACUGUUCUCUACUUAAGAACAAAUUCAUCAGCAAAUGGAAAUAGACUAACAUUUAUUAAGCACCCUGUAAUUGCCAGGCAUUUUACAUCUAUUAUUUUGUUUGAACCUAAAUAUAACAUUGGGAGCUCAAUUUUAUGACCUUCAUUUUGCAGAGGAGGAAACUGAAGGCUGAGAGAUUUAAGAACUCUUCCAAGUUUAUAAGUGAAUAAAUGUUAGUGCUUGCAUUCAAAGUCAGGUGGGUCUCACUUUACAGUCAUGGCUUUUGCCUACAGAACUGUGCUACCUUCAGAUCACUUAUAUUUUAUAAUGGUAAUUGUAUAUAAAAACAUAUUUUUUAUUUAUCAAAUAUUUAUUUGGUAAAUAAAAUGUGACCAGCACAUUUCUAGGAGUGAAUUAAUGGCAAUUAUGAUUAUUGACAUUUAUUAAAGCUGUAUAACUUACAUGUAUUUUCUAAAAGUUAGUGAUUUAUUUUCAGCCUUUCUGUUAUUUUGCAUUAGGGAUCUCAGAAGAUCCCAGGGUAUUGGUAAGGAUCUACAAUAUUGAAAAAAUUUUGGACUGGAUCCCAGGAGACCUGUGUUUGCCUCUUUCACUUGCUACCUCUGUGAUCAAACGAAUCAGUUUCUAAAUCCGUGGCUCAGUUUCUUUAUUUGUAUAAUAAAAGGAUUGGAAUAUAUAAUCUCUGAGAUUCUUCUGAGUACUACAAUUCUGACUUUACUAAACACAUUCAACUUUUAUAGGUCAUUCCCAACAAUCCAUAUGAGUACACUGAAAUGGUGGUGGUGUAUAUAAUUCAGAGCUGAACGAAACACCUUCAGAUUUGGCCUUGGAAAGUAUAAAUGAGGAAUCAUAACUAUUGUUCAACUCACUGGAAUUUGGUAAAAAUUGGAAGAGUUUACAUCUCAUAGUAAUCUACAAUUCAAUAAAUGU